AUCAACGCUGGCGGCGUGCCUCAGACAUGCAAGUCGAACGCGAAAGUCCCCUUCGGGGGAGUAAGUAGAGUGGCGCACGGGUGAGUAACACGUAGGUAAUCUACCUUCGGAUGGGGAAGUAACAACCGGAAACGGUUGCUAAUACCGCAUAAUGCAGCGGCACCUAAUGGUGACAGUUGUUAAAGCGGGGGAGUCGAAAGACCUCGCGUCUAAAGAGGAGCCUGCGGCGGAUUAGCUAGNGGUUAGGGUAACGGCCUACCAAGGCGACGAUCCGUAGCCGGCCUGAGGAGGGCGGUCGGCCACACUGACACUGACAUACGGGUCA
rnacentral:rRNA from 1 species